CCAAACAAUAUUUUACCUAUGUAUAGAGAAUUUUGAAUAUUGGAGGGGGAGGCAACCAGCCGCUCCCCCCUGGCCCAAGACCAUUGGAUCCCUCUCUUUCGGCUGAAAAUCAGGAGAUUAGCCCCCACCCAAGGUCUUCUUUUCCUUUUUUCCAGCCGACAACAGGCCCCACCCCAAGGGAACCCCUAUUUCUUGUCAUCUCCAGCUACACACCAGGGAGGAUUUUCCGAGAUUUUUCUUCUUCCUCACAGCCGUGGGCAGGGGCCCACGGCUCCCCAAUCUCACUUCCUUCUCUCACAGAAACUAGCCGCCCCCCCACUUUGAUUUUCUGCUUCCCCUCAGCAGCCUCUCUCCGCCACCCUCUAGUCUGCAGACAAAGGGACAUUGCCCCUUCCCCCCUUGUUUUUAAUUUUUUUUCUCUUCUCCCUCAACCUGCCCCAUCGUCUCCAGCAGCCCCAAAAACACUGCCUCCUCUCCUUUUCUCUCCACAGAUCCUCCCUCUCAGCAGCUCCCUUUGCCCUCCUAGACCCACACAGACCCGACCACAACUCCCCCCUUCACAGCCACCGUGAACAGUCGCCUCCAGCAUUUCCUUCCCUCAGCAACAACACCAGCAUCAACACCCGCCGGAUCUGCCAAGAGGAGUGAAGACCGGCCAGCAGCAGCCCAUCUCCAGCCGCACGCCAACAGACACGGCCAUCUCCUCCCCUCACCAGACUCCUCUCCUCUCUCAGCCGACCCAUCGACCUCCCUCUCCGGGUCAACGAACAGACCCGAUCACAGCAGCAACCGCUCUCCUUCCACCUCCAACAGAGCCGUUCCCCGUCUCCUCAGACCCACGGUCUCCCUCACCACAGCAGCCAUCCACUUCCUUCUCUCGGCUACACUCAGCACCAGCCAUCUCCUCUCAUAGCCGAACACCACAACAUCCCUUCUCCUCCAGCAGCGCACAGCCAACAAAUCUUCCCUCUUCAACCGGUGACAGAUCCACGGUCCCCUCUUCAGCCACAUGCAACGCCCAUAGAGCCAGCAGCGCUGUCCACACCCGGCCAUAGAUUCACCAUCAGCCAGCAGCGCCGCCCGAUCUACCACCCGAAACAGAGGAGAAGACAAACCGACCCGCCUGAAACAGAGAAGGGAGGAGGCAGAGAAACGGAGCAGAUCUAAAACAGGAGAAAGGAGGGAGGCGGAUUUGGAAACAGUGAAACAAAAAAACUAAAAUCGACUGUGUUGUGGUGAUUUUGUUUGUGAUUGCAGAUGAUUGUGUUCCUCACAACCAGUAGGGAAGAGAAGGGGAGAAGAAGCUGAGCCUGAUCGUCCACCUUCCGUUUUCUUCCUGCGGCGGCGCGUGAACCCACGCCCCGCCAGUGGCGGUGGCGUUUGGGGAGGACGCGCCGCCACUGUUCAUGCUGUUCCAGAAGGGCUUCCCAGCACUGUUAUGGAGUUUUGAGGGGUUAUUUUGUAAUUUUUAAAUUGUUUAAUGUAAUUUUUUUGUUUAGUAUUGAAUUUUUAUAAUUUGUAAUGUUGAUGUAAAAAAAAAAAAGAAAAGAAAAGAAAAGAAAAAAUAUAGUGAAAGUGUAUGUGUGAUUGUUUUUAUUUAUGUUAUUGAAUAAAAAAUGAAUUUAAUAUUUUAUAUGCACAAAUAUCUAAAGGAUAGAUAAAAAUCAUGUUGUAUUUCCCAUAAAAAUGUAGAACAUGUAUCUACAUAUAUUUUGGGAACGAAUAACUGAUUUAUCAAAGCCUUAGAAUUGGGCUAAAAUUUUAUUUUCAAAACGCAUCAAGUCCACGAAGCAGCUUACCUCAGGUAGGGUGCGUUAGGGGUGCUAAUACCUUCCCUAACCACAACCAGUUCCUUACCCAUGAAUCUCAGACAAGACCAGUACAUCCGGUUUCCUAGUAGCCCGCAAUUAAUUACUAGGUGGCGACUCCAACGAACCAAUCAAAAUAACAACAGAAAAAAUCGCCAGCCGAUGCCGCGCUGAUUUUUUAUCACGUGCGACAGAAUGGCGACUCCACUGGGGAAGGUAUUGUUUCUGACGAUAUUGGACUAAGCUUUGUGUAUUUGAUGUGUUUAUGUUUUUGCAUUUUUGUUUUGUUUUAUUUUUGUUUUAUUCAUGCAUUGUAUAGAUUUGUUUCAUGCAUCACAUAUUUUAAUUUUUUAGCACACACAAGCUUCAGGUUAGGAGGGGGACUAGCAGCUUACCUUAUGACUUUUAGUCAAGGUUUAAGUUUGUGUAAACCCCAACUCUUCGUUGAGUGCUUAGACUGGUAAUAGUUGGACAUGUGCCAUCUCAUUGCCUACAAGCCCCUAUAUUGCCUUCAAGAGGGUAAUCACUGGGACAACAAGAGACCAUUUUUAGAGAUUAAGUAGUAAACCUACCUUUUGUCUCACUUAAAAAGAUUAGAACCUGCCUUUAGGAUGUGUGCUCUGUAUAUAUUGUUUUGCAUCAGGGCAAACCCUUCUUGAAGCAUCUUGAACUCAAGACUUUUGGGUGACCCAAUGGCCGUCACUCAGAAAAUUUUCAUUGUAGAGUUUGGGCAAGAAUCAAGAUUCUUGUUUCAUCAUACAAGAGUUACGACCAUAUGUCACCCCUCGAAGGGCGAGUUCUUCAUAUAGUUUACAUGUUCAUACAUUUAUCAUGCAUGUACCGGGAGGAAAAAUAGGUUCUCCCAUCUGAGUUGUGCUCCACGUGAUUGAAAAAAAGACGAUGGAAAUGAAGAAAGAUGUCAGAGAGAGGCAUAGAGUCAAAAGAAAGUUGAGAGCAUCAAAGGGGAAGUAGCUAGGCUCAGAUCUGCCUGAACAAGUGUAGAACAUCAAAUGGAAAGGGAAUGUCUACACAGUCUUCUGUGGGAACACUGCUUGUCCAUGUCCCAUUGAAGUUACACCUCCUCUUUUCAGUCUUGAAUAAUUGCAGCAAUGCCUUCAGUCAUCAGCUAAUGACAACCUUUGUUCUUGUUCAGUUGCACUGAUAAUUAUUCAUCGCCUCCGUAUCUGCUAAUGGAACCAAAUAACUACUAGCCUUCUGUGCAUGGUGUAUUAGCCUUCUUUGACGUUACCCCAACUGUUAGCUCAAUUCCAGUUCAGCGGCACAAGAUGUAAAAAAAAAAAAAAAAACUGAAAAAAAAAACCAUGAUUUGACCCUGAACUUCUACGUUGCAGAGCUCUCUCUGUAGAUAUUUCUUUGUGGAUCUGCCAAUGGGGAACGCAAGAGGGGGUGUAGUAGUUUCAUAUUCUUUAAAACUUUCUCUCACCAGUGGCACCAGCAAAACAUUGUAGUAGGCAGAAGGGUGAGACUUGGUUUGAAAAUGUUAGCAGUCAUCAAACUUCAAUGUGGCAGAGGUCUCUCUACAAAAAUCCGUUUGUGGCUCUGCAAGUGGGGAAUGCAAGAGGGCAUGCAGUACUUUCAUAUGCUACAAAACUUUGGCUCAUCAGUUUCAGCACUGAAACACUGGAGUAGGCCGAAGAGUCAGACCUAGUCUGAAAACAUGAGCAGUCGUCGAACUUUGACGUGGCAGAGCUCUCUCUACAAAAACCUGUUUAUGGCUCUGCAAGUGGGGAAUUCAAGAGGGGAUGUAGUAGUUCUAGACAAUGUGAAAAGUUACCCCACCAGCUUCAGCAUCGAAACACUGUAGUAGGCAGAAAAGCCAGACUUGAGCUAGAAAACAGGAGCAAAUAUAGAACUUCACCGUGGCAGAGCUCUCUCUGCAGAAACCUGUUUGUAGAUCUGCAAGUGGAGAAUCCAAGAAGGGAUGCAGUAGUUUCUGAUCAUCUAUAAUUUUCUCUCAUCGGUGUUAGCUUGAAAAUGCAAAAGAAGGGAAAAGAGACAAACCUCGGCUGAAAAAUAGAAAGAAGAUUGAAACUUCAACAGAGCAGAGCUCCCUCUACAGGUGUCUGUUUGCUGCACCAUCAGUGAGGAAUCAAAGAGGAGACAAAGGAGUUUCAGAUUCAUCAGUUUCUCCUCCAAUAAAAACAAUGCACAUUUCAUGCAGUGACAGUGAUAGCGCUGCAUGAUUCUAUGCGCUGGCAAGAUUACCUAGCUGUUGGAAGGUUUCCAACAAUCCACAAAGGACCACAACAACAUUGGAAGAAUGACAUGAUGUUGUGAAGAUCAUCAAAAGAAUUGAGCUAGCUGUCAAGAUGGGAAAGAUUGAAGGAUCUGCCAUGGAUUCCAGAACUGUGAAGAGAUGAAUCAGGAGAUGACUCUGAAAACGGGAAACCAUAGUUAUGUGGUUUAGUCAAGUCUCACUGUAGCACCAGCUACUCAAGUGUCGUUGCCAAGAUUGACAUCUUUCUGCCACCCAAGUUGGACUACUAGCAUCUGUCAGAUUCCAGACUUUUUGCCUGACUCUGUUAAAUCCCAUGCAACCACUGUUUCUUAUGUGAUCCAAACAAGAGAUUUGAAUAUCAUGGGGGGAUUUCAGGCCAUUUAGUUGAAUAAUUGCAAGAAUCGAGUCCGCAAAUUGGUGAGCAAAAGACGAGAGGAAUCUGUGAAGGAGCUUGUCAUCGAUCAUUUUAUCGCCAGAACAUCCUCAGAAUGACGAGUGAUCGAAAUUGCUCGGUAAACACAGAUAUUGCCAGAAUAGUUGAUCCAAGAAGGGCGUUGAACUGUCAAUCAUGUUGUUAUGGAAUUUUUGCCAUUCUGCAUUUUGUUUUGGGGUCACAUCUCAUCCUUGAACGAAACAUGUCUUUUCUUUGUCUUUUUGUUGUUUUGAAAUCAAGAGAUGCUUCUUUCAAAGGGUAUUUUGACAAAAAUAUUUUUUUGAUCAAACUCCAACAUACAAAAUUAAAGCUAGUCAAUCCUGAAGAUUAAAAGUGUUUGGAUUGCGGAAAUGACUUGAUGCUUGAAAAGGACAUGAGGUGACCAAACAAUUUUGAACUCAUAUCUCCUGAAACUGAACAACACAUCAUAUAACUAAGUUUUAGCAGUAUGCAUAAUGACAUGUAGUGGAUUCGGUAGUUAUGGACUCGUGAAUCAUGACUCUUACAAGUCCAAAUCAUUACACUAGAUGAGGUCAAAAUUUAUCGAUUCUAACCGACUUUGCUUGAAAUGAGAAAAGGCCAUCUUCGAUAUCCCUUCACUUUCUAAAGAUUAUAUCCCUUGCAGUCCUAUUUUGAGCCUGGUAAAAUAUUCUCUUUCAAAAAGAAACCUUGACUAGGAUCACACCCCACACUGGGGGCAAUGAGAGAUAUGUUAUUAGGAAGGAUGAAGACACUGAUAGAAUCAAUGAUAAAAGAAAGGCUUAGAAUAAAAGCCCAAUGAUUGAGAAAGGGAGAACAAGAAAAGCCAUAGAUUGAGGGUCAUCCAAGAAAACUUUGAGGAAGGUUAUGUAAAAGCAAAAAAAAAAAAAAAAGGUGGAAAUGAAGGAGAAUGCCUAUCAAUUCUAAGAGGGGCAAAAAAGGUUUCAAUGGAAGAAAGACACAACAAAUGUCAAAAGUCAACACCAAAAAAAUCAAGUUUCAUGUCUUUUGGUGUGUCUAGGAUAAAGCCUUUAGUGUCUUCAAAAUUUUUUAGAUUCAUUAUUCAUCAGAGAUAAAGUUGGAUUAGCAUUAUGACCUAUGUUAAGAGAAUUCUGAUAUUUGAGAUAAACAAGGUUAUAUAUCACUUUCUCUACUAUGACAACAAGAGAAAGAGAGUUGAUGAAUAGUUGAUGUUGAUCUUAGGUCUUUGAAACCCUCAAACACCUAUUGAGCUUUGAAAAUUCCUUUCUUUCAUAGCCAUGAACCAUAGCCUACAUUACGUGCUCUUAAAAGCCCUUUUUAAUCAAGUAAACAAUUUGAACCGAUAAAUGGCGCUCUAAAAAACUUGAAGAGUUGUUCUAUAAGGGUCGUGACUUCAUGGAUUAAGCUACUGGUUAUUAUGCAUGCUGAUAAAAUUGAUGCUAAAAAAGAAAACAAUCUUUCUUGAUGAAUCCUCAAGUUUUGACUUGAGCCUUUUGUUUCUUGAAAUUCACAGAAGGUCACCUCAUUGCAGACCGUGAAAAGAUAUACCCAAGAUCAAAGAUUAAAACUGACAUAAAGAACCAUGGAAAAAGUCAUUUUAAACUUACAAUGGGUCAUUUCUGUUUUCAAAAUACAAUGACAAUCAAAAGACUAUAUUGAAUAGUGUGUGUUGGGUCUUUGACCAAAAAGCUUGAUUUUCAAAAGAUCUUUUCCAAAACUGAUAUCUCUUUGAUUUCAUUUCAACAAUUAGACUUGAAUUGACAUGAUCUUUGAAAUAUGAGAUUUGAUUCCAGAACAAGAAAGAUUGUCGAACAAUGAAGAACAUCGAGUGAGUCUGCGAAAUAUUUGACAUGAAAUGACAUCAACUCUUCUCAAUACUCCUUGAAAAAUUGAGACACCUGGAGGCAAUACAGUGGACCCUGAAAAGGAAAACAAGCAGUAUUCAGAUCAGCUGAGGGCAAAGAAAAAUCAGAUGAUGAGUCGUCAAAGUCCAUCAAAGUUAUGUUUAGCAUCUGACAAUGACAAAGAAAAAACUUGUUAAGUAUAAACAGAUGAACAAGCAUUCAGAUCAUUACUGGGGGCAAUGUUGUUCAAAGACAGUCAGUGAUUUAGUGAACUUCAGCAGCAAUUGAUGAGCAACGCUGCACUUGAAGGGCAUUUUAUUAUCUUCAUCUUGGGGUUACCCUUUGAAACAUGGCUAUGACAGAUGUUAUCUCAUAGUUGCAUUAGAAUGAAUGUCAGAAAGAUGCACACCACCAAGACUGACUGUGGGACCAUAUGUUUUGGAGCUCAAUGCGCACUUCACCGUAUGAAUAUGGGUGAUAACAUGAACAUCAUUGAUGAUGUCGAGACAUUUCUUUCCACUAUCUGAUUUAACAAGCUGAGAGGAAUUCAUGAGAAAGACCAUUGAGCAUACAACGAUGAGUCUUUCACUGCAAGCUAUGAGAUGUAUGUCUGGACGACUAGAUGAUUUCCAUGAAGACUGGUGAUAACAUAUACUUGAAGAGUAUUGUUUCAGCUUGAGGCAAGUUUAUGACUGAUUGACAAUCAUGAUGGUGUUGGCACGAUGCACACAAUCAAUGCGAUAACAAUUCUCAGGAUAAUACAGAGGAUGAAUGAUCGGUUAAGAUCUUCAUGAUGAAUCAAGCAACACCGCACUUGGGGGCAGAGUCAAGCUUGAUAAACAACAAGAGCAGUAAUCGUCGUAGACAACCCGAGAUGGGCACUGCACUUACAUUUGAGUGGAAGGCUAGCAUACGAAUGAGCCAGUACAUGGGAAGAGCAAAUAAGGCUUUGGUUAGCAAACAAAGGCACCCUGUGAUGAUGGAACAUCGAAGAGGGGGGACCUAUAUUUCACAUCAGGUAAGGAUGCAUGCAUGUCAUCUAACCUCAAAGCAUUGCACAUAUUUGUGAUUUGUUACAGAAAGAUCCUCAAUGAAGUCCAGCAAGAUUGUGGACAAAGAAAGAAUCAUUGAGUUAAUGAUGACCGAGAAUCGGUUUAGAUCCUGAAACGAGAAGAGAAUGAGAUGAACCCUGCCAGUAGGAGAAUCUCAAAGAACCGAGGAGAUUAACCUCGUCAUCAAAAGGAGUCUUCAAGUCAACCUACAACCAGAAAGCGCCAAGUUUGUCAGCCUUAUCCUGCCAGGACUGCUCCAACCAAGUCUUUUUGCCAGGUAAGUCACAUUCUAUCUUUGGGUAGGUCACCCAUAAUAAUGAGACCACUUCAUAUUUUUCUCAUCUUUCAUCUGGGUAGGUCACCCAUAACAAUGAGACCAGUUCAUAUUUUUUCUAUCUUCCAUCUGGGUAGGUCACCCAUAACAAUGAGACCACUUCACAUUUUUUCUAUCUUCCACCUGGGUAGGUCACCCAUUACAAUGAGACCACUUCAUAUUUUUUAUAUCCUCCACCUGGGUAGGUCACCCAUAACAAUGAGACCAUUUCACAUUUUUUUUAUCCUCCACCUGGGUAGGUCACCCAUUACAAUGAGACCACUUCAUAUUUUUUCUAUCUUCCACAUGGGUAGGUCACCCAUAAUAAUGAGACCGCUUCAUAUUUUUCUCAUCUUCCAUCUGGGUAGGUCACCCAUUACAAUGAGACCACUUCAUAUUUUUUAUAUCCUCCACCUGGGUAGGUCACCCAUAACAAUGAGACCAUUUCACAUUUUUUUUAUCCUCCACCUGGGUAGGUCACCCAUUACAAUGAGACCACUUCAUAUUUUUUUCUAUCUUCCACCUGGGUAGGUCACCCAUUAUAAUGAGACCGCACUUCACAUUCUUUCCGUUUGGGUAGGUCACCCAUCAUAAUGAGACCGUUUUCCACAUUAUUUUUCUUGGGUAGGUCACCCAUACAAUGAGACCAUCAUUUUUUCUUGGGUUCGUCACCCAUACAAUGAGACCAUCAUUUUUUCUGGGGUUCGUCACCCAUACAAUGAGACCAUCAUUUUGCUGGGGUUCGUCACCCAUACAAUGAGACCAUCAUCAUUUUUCUGGGGUUCGUCACCCAUACAAUGAGACCACCAUUUUUCUGGGGUUCGUCACCCAUACAAUGAGACCAUCAUUUUUCUUGGGUUCGUCACCCAUACAAUGAGACCAUCAUUUUUCUGGGGUUCGUCACCCAUACAAUGAGACCAUCAUUUUUUUCUUGGGUUCGUCACCCAUACAAUGAGACCACCAUUUUUCUGGGGUUCGUCACCCAUACAAUGAGACCAUCAUUUUUCUGGGGUUCGUCACCCAUACAAUGAGACCAUCAUUUUUUUUUUUGGGGUUCGUCACCCAUACAAUGAGACCAUUUGUUCCACAUUCUUUGUUUUGGUUUAAUGAGGUCGCCAGAUGGGAUCUCAUGUAGCUUUGGUUAAAGGGAAUCGCCAGAUGGGAUUUCAGGUUGACCGAGCUACACACAUUUUUUAGUUCCAGUUGAAUGAGGUCGCCAGAUGGGAUCUCAUGUAGCUUUGGUUAAAGGGAAUCGCCAGAUGGGAUUUCAGGUUGACCGAGCUACCACACAUUUUUUUAAGUUCAAGUUGAAUGAGGUCGCCAGAUGGGAUCUCAUGUAGCUUUGGUUAAAGGGAAUCGCCAGAUGGGAUUUCAGGUUGACCAAGCUACACACAUUUUUUAGUUCCACUUUAAUGAGGUCGCCAGAUGGGAUCUCAUGUAGCUUUGGUUAAAGGAAAUCGCCAGAUGGGAUUUCAGGUUGACCGAGUUACACACAUUUUUUUAGUUUUGGUUUAAUGAGGUCGCCAGAUGGGAUCUUAUUUUGGUUUUGGUUAAAGGGGAUCGCCGGACGGGAUCUCAGGUUAGCCCAACCACGCAGAUUUUGGUUUUGGUUCAAGGAGAUCGCCCGAUGGGAUCUCAGGACAAAACGAAAAAAAAAAAAGAUUUUCUUUACAAAGCUUACUAUGCAAAACAUUGAGGAGUUUUGCUUCGUAAGCAUUGUAAAGAGGGGGCAUCUGUUGCUACCCAAUUUUUGACCCAUGUUUUGAUAAAUUUUCAGAAAAAUCCAAAAAUAGCAAAAAAACAUUGAAAAUCCAAAAAAAUAUAUUUUUAAUACAUUUGCAUCGUUUUUAGCAUUUUUAGCAUCGUCUCAAAAUAAUUUAAAUUUUCAAAGGUCUUUCGAACGCGUUCAACUUUUAACGCGUUAAUUUUAAUUUUCCUCAUUGAGUCGACGUUGAUAUUGCUCGUUUUCAAAAAUACAAAAAAAUUAAAGAAAAUCAAAUUUAAAAAAAAAGAAAAUUGAGGAAUCAAUUUUGAGGCCCAAACAAUAUUUUACCUAUGUAUAGAGAAUUUUGAAUAUUGGAGGGGGAGGCAACCAGCCGCUCCCCCCUGGCCCAAGACCAUUGGAUCCCUCUCUUUCGGCUGAAAAUCAGGAGAUUAGCCCCCACCCAAGGUCUUCUUUUCCUUUUUUCCAGCCGACAACAGGCCCCACCCCAAGGGAACCCCUAUUUCUUGUCAUCUCCAGCUACACACCAGGGAGGAUUUUCCGAGAUUUUUCUUCUUCCUCACAGCCGUGGGCAGGGGCCCACGGCUCCCCAAUCUCACUUCCUUCUCUCACAGAAACUAGCCGCCCCCCCACUUUGAUUUUCUGCUUCCCCUCAGCAGCCUCUCUCCGCCACCCUCUAGUCUGCAGACAAAGGGACAUUGCCCCUUCCCCCCUUGUUUUUAAUUUUUUUUCUCUUCUCCCUCAACCUGCCCCAUCGUCUCCAGCAGCCCCAAAAACACUGCCUCCUCUCCUUUUCUCUCCACAGAUCCUCCCUCUCAGCAGCUCCCUUUGCCCUCCUAGACCCACACAGACCCGACCACAACUCCCCCCUUCACAGCCACCGUGAACAGUCGCCUCCAGCAUUUCCUUCCCUCAGCAACAACACCAGCAUCAACACCCGCCGGAUCUGCCAAGAGGAGUGAAGACCGGCCAGCAGCAGCCCAUCUCCAGCCGCACGCCAACAGACACGGCCAUCUCCUCCCCUCACCAGACUCCUCUCCUCUCUCAGCCGACCCAUCGACCUCCCUCUCCGGGUCAACGAACAGACCCGAUCACAGCAGCAACCGCUCUCCUUCCACCUCCAACAGAGCCGUUCCCCGUCUCCUCAGACCCACGGUCUCCCUCACCACAGCAGCCAUCCACUUCCUUCUCUCGGCUACACUCAGCACCAGCCAUCUCCUCUCAUAGCCGAACACCACAACAUCCCUUCUCCUCCAGCAGCGCACAGCCAACAAAUCUUCCCUCUUCAACCGGUGACAGAUCCACGGUCCCCUCUUCAGCCACAUGCAACGCCCAUAGAGCCAGCAGCGCUGUCCACACCCGGCCAUAGAUUCACCAUCAGCCAGCAGCGCCGCCCGAUCUACCACCCGAAACAGAGGAGAAGACAAACCGACCCGCCUGAAACAGAGAAGGGAGGAGGCAGAGAAACGGAGCAGAUCUAAAACAGGAGAAAGGAGGGAGGCGGAUUUGGAAACAGUGAAACAAAAAAACUAAAAUCGACUGUGUUGUGGUGAUUUUGUUUGUGAUUGCAGAUGAUUGUGUUCCUCACAACCAGUAGGGAAGAGAAGGGGAGAAGAAGCUGAGCCUGAUCGUCCACCUUCCGUUUUCUUCCUGCGGCGGCGCGUGAACCCACGCCCCGCCAGUGGCGGUGGCGUUUGGGGAGGACGCGCCGCCACUGUUCAUGCUGUUCCAGAAGGGCUUCCCAGCACUGUUAUGGAGUUUUGAGGGGUUAUUUUGUAAUUUUUAAAUUGUUUAAUGUAAUUUUUUUGUUUAGUAUUGAAUUUUUAUAAUUUGUAAUGUUGAUGUAAAAAAAAAAAAAAAAAGAAAAGAAAAGAAAAAAUAUAGUGAAAGUGUAUGUGUGAUUGUUUUUAUUUAUGUUAUUGAAUAAAAAAUGAAUUUAAUAUUUUAUAUGCACAAAUAUCUAAAGGAUAGAUAAAAAUCAUGUUGUAUUUCCCAUAAAAAUGUAGAACAUGUAUCUACAUAUAUUUUGGGAACGAAUA
rnacentral:lncRNA from 1 species